rnacentral:rRNA from 1 species
UAAGGAAUAUUGGGCAAUGGACGGCAGUCUGACCCAGCCAUCCCGCGUGUAGGAAGAAGGCCCUCCGGGUUGUAAACUACUUUUGGGGGAGACGAAGAGCCCGUACGUGUACGGGUGUGACGGUAUCCUCAGAAUCAGCACCGGCUAACUCCGUGCCAGCAGCCGCGGUAAUACGGAGGGUGCCAGCGUUAUCCGGAAUCACUGGGUUUAAAGGGUGCGUAGGCGGGCUUGUAAGUUUGGGGUGAAAGGCCAGCGCUUAACGCUGGGAGGUCCCUGGAUACUGCGAGUCUUGGAGGGAGUUGAGGUGAGCGGAAUGUGGCAAGUAGCGGUGAAAUGCGUAGAUAUGCCAUAGAACACCGAUUGCGAAGGCAGCUCACUGGGCUUUACUUGACGCUGAGGCACGAAAGCGUGGGGAGCGAACAGGAUUAGAUACCCGUGUAGUCC